rnacentral:lncRNA from 1 species
UUUUUGAUGACAGUUAUACAGCAUAUACAUUUUGCAAAACUCUGAAUUGUACUCAGAAUGUGAUAGAUUGGUGUGUAGAUCAAACCUCAAAAAAGGUUAUAACUCUUUAAGACCCCAUCAAAAUACUCUAUUUUGAGAAAUAUAGCUUUUAAGCAAACAGGAUGGAUGUGUGAAUUGAUCAGCUCUAUUAAUUAACAUUUCAAUUUAUUCAGUUAAUGCCAUCAAUUAGGACACAACUGGAUACAGUUUGGGUGAGGGGACUCUUUUCCUUAGAAUAUUUGUAUAUCACAUUUAAAAUAUUAAAUAUUCA